rnacentral:rRNA from 1 species
CCGACGGUGAGAGGUGAAACCCUGGGGCGCAAACCGGGUUAGAUACCCGGGUAGUCCAGGGCGUAAACGCUGCAGGCUUGGUGUUGGGGGCCCUACGUGGGCGCUCAGUGCCGGAGUGAAGAUGUUAAGCCUGCCGCUUGGGGAGUAUGUCCGCAAGGAUGAAACUUAAAGGAAUUGGCGGGAGAGCACAGCAACGGGAGGAGCGUGCGGUUCAAUUGGAUUCAACGCCGUAAAACUCACCGGGAGC